AGAGUUUGAUCCUGGCUCAGGAUGAACGCUGGCGGUAUGCUUUACACAUGCAAGUCGUACGAGAGUUUUUAACUCAAGUGGCGGACGGGUGAGUAACACGUAAGAAUUUACCUUUAGGAGGGGGACAACAACUGGAAACGGUUGCUAAUACCCCAUAUGCUUUCGAGUGAAAUGGAUUUUCCGCCUAAAGAGAAGCUUGCGGCUGAUUAGCUUGUUGGGGAGGUAAUGGCUCACCAAGGCGACGAUCAGUAUCUGGUUUGAGAGGACGAUCAGACACACUGGAACUGAGACACGGUCCAGACUCCUACGGGAGGCAGCAGUGGGGAAUUUUCCGCAAUGGGCGAAAGCCUGACGGAGCAAUACCGCGUGAGGGAUGACGGCCUAUGGGUUGUAAACCUCUUUUUUCAGGGAGGAAUAAAUGACGUGUACCUGAAGAAUAAGCAUCGGCUAACUCCGUGCCAGCAGCCGCGGUAAGACGGAGGAUGCAAGUGUUAUCCGGAAUCACUGGGCGUAAAGCGUCUGUAGGUGGUUUAAUAAGUCAACUGUUAAAUCUUGAGGCUCAACUUCAAAAUCGCA
rnacentral:rRNA from 1 species